rnacentral:rRNA from 1 species
AACGAACGCUGGCGGCAUGCCUAACACAUGCAAGUCGAACGAGAUCUUCGGGUCUAGUGGCGCAAGGGUGCGUAACGCGUGGGAAUCUGCCUUUUGGUUCGGAAUAAUAGUUGGAAACGACUACUAAUACCGGAUGAUGACGAAAGUCCAAAGAUUAAUCGCCAGAGGAUGAGCCCGCGUAGGAUUAGCCAGUUGGUGUGGUAAAGGCGCACCAAGGCGACGAUCCUUAGCUGGUCUGAGAGGAUGAUCAGACACACUGGGACUGAGAUACGGCCCAGACUCCUACGGGAGGCAGCAGUGGGGAAUAUUGGACAAUGGGCGAAAGCCUGAUCCAGCAAUGCCGCGUGAGUGAUGAAGGCCUUAGGUUUGUAAAGCUCUUUUACCCGGGAUGAUAAUGACAGUACCGGGAGAAUAAGCUCCGGCUAACUCCGUGCCAGCCGCCGCGGUAA